rnacentral:tRNA from 9 species
GGCGAGAUAGCUCAGUUGGUAGAGCACACGACUGAAAAUCGUGGUGUCCCCGGUUCGAGUCCGGGUCUCGCCA